rnacentral:rRNA from 1 species
AUACGUAGGGUGCGAGCGUUGUCCGGAAUUACUGGGCGUAAAGAGCUCGUAGGUGGUUUGUCGCGUCGUCUGUGAAAUUCCGGGGCUUAACUCCGGGCGUGCAGGCGAUACGGGCAUAACUUGAGUACUGUAGGGGAGACUGGAAUUCCUGGUGUAGCGGUGAAAUGCGCAGAUAUCAGGAGGAACACCGGUGGCGAAGGGGGGUCUCUGGGCAGUAACUGACGCUGAGGAGCGAAAGCAUGGGUAGCGUACAGGAUUAGAUACCCUGGUAGUCCAUGCCGUAAACGGUGGGCGCUAGGUGUAGGGGUCUUCCACGACUUCUGUGCCGUAGCUAACGCAUUAAGCGCCCCGCCUGGGGAGUACGGCCGCAAGGCUAAAACUCAAAUGAAUUGACGGGG